rnacentral:rRNA from 1 species
CCUACGGGUGGCAGCAGUGGGGAAUAUUGCCCAAUGGGCGCAAGCCUGAUGCAGCCAUGCCGCGUGUGUGAAGAAGGCCUUCGGGUCGUAAAGCACUUUCAGCGGGGAGGAAGGCGUUAAGGUUAAUAACCUUGUCGAUUGACGUUACCCGCAGAAGAAGCACCGGCUAACUCCGUGCCAGCAGCCGCGGUAAUACGGAGGGUGCGAGCGUUAAUCGGAAUUACUGGGCGUAAAGCGCACGCAGGCGGUCUGUCAAGUCGGAUGUGAAAUCCCCGGGCUCAACCUGGGAACUGCAUUCGAAACUGGCAGGCUAGAGUCUUGUAGAGGGGGGUAGAAUUCUAGGUGUAGCGGUGAAAUGCGUAGAGAUCUGGAGGAAUACCGGUGGCGAAGGCGGCCCCCUGGACAAAGACUGACGCUCAGGUGCGAAAGCGUGGGGAGCAAACAGGAUUAGAUACCCUGGUAGUC